rnacentral:rRNA from 1 species
UACGGAGGGAGCUAGCGUUGUUCGGAAUUACUGGGCGUAAAGCGCACGUAGGCGGCUUUGUAAGUUAGAGGUGAAAGCCUGGAGCUCAACUCCAGAACUGCCUUUAAGACUGCAUCGCUUGAAUCCAGGAGAGGUGAGUGGAAUUCCGAGUGUAGAGGUGAAAUUCGUAGAUAUUCGGAAGAACACCAGUGGCGAAGGCGGCUCACUGGACUGGUAGUGACGCUGAGGUGCGAAAGCGUGGGGAGCAAACAGG